GUGCCUGACGCCCGCCGGACGGUAAGACGUAGGGGGGCGAGCGUUGUCCGGAUUUAUUGGGCGUAAAGAGCGUGUAGGCGGCCGCACAGGUCCGUUGUGAAAACUGGAGGCUUAACCUUCAGACGUCGAUGGAAACCGUGCGGCUAGAGUCCGGAAGAGGAGAAUGGAAUUCCUGGUGUAGCGGUGAAAUGCGCAGAUAUCAGGAAGAACACCCGUGGCUAAGGCGGUUCUCUAGUACGGUACUGACGCUGAGACGCGAAAGCGUGGGGAGCGAACAGG
rnacentral:rRNA from 1 species